rnacentral:rRNA from 1 species
CGGGACGGGUGAGUAACACGUGGAUAACCUACCUAUAAGACUGGGAUAACUUCGGGAAACCGGAGCUAAUACCGGAUAAUAUUUUGAACCGCAUGGUUCAAAAGUGAAAGACGGUCUUGCUGUCACUUAUAGAUGGAUCCGCGCUGCAUUAGCUAGUUGGUAAGGUAACGGCUUACCAAGGCAACGAUGCAUAGCCGACCUGAGAGGGUGAUCGGCCACACUGGAACUGAGACACGGUCCAG